rnacentral:misc_RNA from 1 species
AGGACUACAGGGGUUUCUAAUCCCGUUUGCUCCCCUGGCUUUCGCUCCUCAGCGUCAAUGCCGGUCCAGGAUGCCGCCUUCGCCACCGGUAUUCCUCCAGAUAUCUACGCAUUUCACCGCUACACCUGGAAUUCUGCAUCCCUCUCCCGGAUUCAAGCCAUCCAGUAUCAGACGCAGUUCCCAGGUUGAGCCUGGGGAUUUCACGUCUGACUUAGUUGGCCGCCUACGAGCCCUUUACGCCCAGUAAUUCCGAACAACGCUUGCCCCCCCCGUAUUACCGCGGCUGCUGACAC